CACUCCUACGGGAGGCAGCAGUGGGGAAUAUUGCACAAUGGGCGCAAGCCUGAUGCAGCCAUGCCGCGUGUAUGAAGAAGGCCUUCGGGUUGUAAAGUACUUUCAGCGGGGAGGAAGGCGAUAAGGUUAAUAACCUUGUCGAUUGACGUUACCCGCAGAAGAAGCACCGGCUAACUCCGUGCCAGCAGCCGCGGUAAUACGGAGGGUGCAAGCGUUAAUCGGAAUUACUGGGCGUAAAGCGCACGCAGGCGGUCUGUCAAGUCGGAUGUGAAAUCCCCGGGCUCAACCUGGGAACUGCAUUCGAAACUGGCAGGCUAGAGUCUUGUAGAGGGGGGUAGAAUUCCAGGUGUAGCGGUGAAAUGCGUAGAGAUCUGGAGGAAUACCGGUGGCGAAGGCGGCCCCCUGGACAAAGACUGACGCUCAGGUGCGAAAGCGUGGGGAGCAAACAGGAUUAGAUACCCCAGUAGUCCCAUGAU
rnacentral:rRNA from 1 species